rnacentral:rRNA from 1 species
GAUGAACGCUAGCGGCAGGCCUAAUACAUGCAAGUCGAGCGGCAAGUCGAGGAGUAAUCUGAGACCUAGAGCGGCGCACGGGUGCGUAACGCGUAUGCAACCUACCUCAUACAGGGGGAUAGCCCGGAGAAAUCUGGAUUAAUACCCCAUGGUACAGCACAAGGGCAUCCGAGUGUUGUUAAAGAUUCAUCGGUAGGAGAUGGGCAUGCGUCUGAUUAGCUAGUUGGCGGUGUAACGGACCACCAAGGCGACGAUCAGUAGGGGUUCUGAGAGGAAGGUCCCCCACACUGGCACUGAGAUACGGGCCAGACUCCUACGGGAGGCAGCAGUAGGGAAUAUUGGGUAAUGGACGAGAGUCUGACCCAGCCAUGCCGCGUGCAGGAAGAAGGCGUUCUGCGUUGUAAACUGCUUUUAUCUGGGAAGAAAAGGCCCAUGCGUGGGACAUUGCCGGUACCAGAUGAAUAAGCACCGGCUAACUCCGUGCCAGCCGCCGCCGUAAUAC